UUCCUGAUAGCUCAGUUGGUAAAGAAUUUGCCUGCAAUGCAGGAGAUCCUGGUUCAAUGCCUGGGUCGAGAAG
rnacentral:tRNA from 1 species